rnacentral:pre_miRNA from 1 species
CCUUACAAACAUUAUCGAUGAGUUUCAAUUGAGUUUCUGAUGUACUUACACAUCAAAAACUCAAUUGAAACUCAUUGAUGAUAUUUGUAA